rnacentral:tRNA from 1 species
GCCCCCAUCGUCUAGCGGUAAGGACACCACUCUUUCAAGGUGGUGACAGGGGUUCGACUCCCCUUGGGGGCG